rnacentral:rRNA from 1 species
AGAGUUUGAUCCUGGCUCAGGAUGAACGCUGGCGGCGUGCCUAAUACAUGCAAGUCGAGCGAACGGACGAGAAGCUUGCUUCUCUGAUGUUAGCGGCGGACGGGUGAGUAACACGUGGAUAACCUACCUAUAAGACUGGGAUAACUUCGGGAAACCGGAGCUAAUACCGGAUAAUAUUUUGAACCGCAUGGUUCAAAAGUGAAAGACGGUCUUGCUGUCACUUAUAGAUGGAUCCGCGCUGCAUUAGCUAGUUGGUAAGGUAACGGCUUACCAAGGCAACGAUGCAUAGCCGACCUGAGAGGGUGAUCGGCCACACUGGAACUGAGACACGGUCCAGACUCCUACGGGAGGCAGCAGUAGGGAAUCUUCCGCAAUGGGCGAAAGCCUGACGGAGCAACGCCGCGUGAGUGAUGAAGGUCUUCGGAUCGUAAAACUCUGUUAUUAGGGAAGAACAUAUGUGUAAGUAACUGUGCACAUCUUGACGGUACCUAAUCAGAAAGCCACGGCUAACUACGUGCCAGCAGCCGCGGUAAUACGUAGGUGGCAAGCGUUAUCCGGAAUUAUUGGGCGUAAAGCGCGCGUAGGCGGUUUUUUAAGUCUGAUGUGAAAGCCCACGGCUCAACCGUGGAGGGUCAUUGGAAACUGGAAAACUUGAGUGCAGAAGAGGAAAGUGGAAUUCCAUGUGUAGCGGUGAAAUGCGCAGAGAUAUGGAGGAACACCAGUGGCGAAGGCGACUUUCUGGUCUGUAACUGACGCUGAUGUGCGAAAGCGUGGGGAUCAAACAGGAUUAGAUACCCUGGUAGUCCACGCCGUAAACGAUGAGUGCUAAGUGUUAGGGGGUUUCCGCCCCUUAGUGCUGCAGCUAACGCAUUAAGCACUCCGCCUGGGGAGUACGACCGCAAGGUUGAAACUCAAAGGAAUUGACGGGGACCCGCACAAGCGGUGGAGCAUGUGGUUUAAUUCGAAGCAACGCGAAGAACCUUACCAAAUCUUGACAUCCUUUGACAACUCUAGAGAUAGAGCCUUCCCCUUCGGGGGACAAAGUGACAGGUGGUGCAUGGUUGUCGUCAGCUCGUGUCGUGAGAUGUUGGGUUAAGUCCCGCAACGAGCGCAACCCUUAAGCUUAGUUGCCAUCAUUAAGUUGGGCACUCUAAGUUGACUGCCGGUGACAAACCGGAGGAAGGUGGGGAUGACGUCAAAUCAUCAUGCCCCUUAUGAUUUGGGCUACACACGUGCUACAAUGGACAAUACAAAGGGCAGCGAAACCGCGAGGUCAAGCAAAUCCCAUAAAGUUGUUCUCAGUUCUGAUUGUAGUCUGCAACUCGACUACAUGAAGCUGGAAUCGCUAGUAAUCGUAGAUCAGCAUGCUACGGUGAAUACGUUCCCGGGUCUUGUACACACCGCCCGUCACACCACGAGAGUUUGUAACACCCGAAGCCGGUGGAGUAACCUUUUAGGAGCUAGCCGUCGAAGGUGGGACAAAUGAUUGGGGUGAAGUCGUAACAAGGUAGCCGUAUCGGAAGGUGCGGCUGGAUCACCU